UUUAACCUUAUAAAUUCGCACUAUGCUAAGAAAGAUCAAAAUAAAAAACCGCAGUCGAUACUAAAAACCCAGUUCGUCGGGGAUGUUUGCCAAAAUGGCCGUCACCAUGACUUGACAGGCACACAGGUGCACUUGUGUUGCACAAAUUCAAUUCUCCUACAGAUCCUGAUACCAUAAGUCCGUGGUUUCAGCCUAACGACGUGAGUUGCUGGUCCGUUGCAGCUGAAGCGGAGCGUCGUACUUGGAGGUUAGUUCCAGCCUGUCGGUCAAGACGAUACAAGGGAGUAUAACGAGAUCAGUUGGUCUGUUAAACGCAUAAAAAUACAUUCGAUGCUUAAGUCAAAAUUGUUUGCAGUUUUGUGUUAAGGCUUUACUUACCGACACAUUCAUAGGGGAACCCUGGUUUACAGGGAUAAGAACGCCAAGGGCCACAUCCAUUAUACUAACUAUACAAUAUGUGUAAGUUUUACUGCACUUCUGAGGGUCCAUCUACGAACCUCAAGUGCUUGCACUGCGGGACGCGGUGAGUCGCGUUACAGUCUACUGGAUGCGCAUCGGAAGGCGAGCCCCAACACACAAUCGGCAUUGCAUCAUAUCAAAUUUCAUGCUCAAUAUUUAUUUUAUACUCUUAAAGAUAAGUUGGGCCAUAACUUGACCGUGCGGGUGAAGAAGUGACACUGCAUGGAGGCAUCUACUUGAGGUGCAGACCGCGCACGCACAGACCUCAC
rnacentral:lncRNA from 1 species